rnacentral:rRNA from 1 species
AUUGAACGCUGGCGGCAGGCUUAACACAUGCAAGUCGAGCGGAGAGAGGUAGCUUGCUACCGAUCUUAGCGGCGGACGGGUGAGUAAUGCUUAGGAAUCUGCCUAUUAGCGGGGGACAACAUUUCGACAGGAAUGCUAAUACCGUAUACGUCAUACGGGAGAAAGCAGGGGAUCUUCGGACCUUGCGCUACUAGAUGAGCCUAAGUCGGAUUAGCUAGUUGGUGGGGUAAAGGCUGACCAAGGCGACGAUCUGUAGCGGGUCUGAGAGGAUGAUCCGCCACACGGGGACGGAGACACGGCCCAGACUCCUACGGGAGGGAGCAGUGGGGAAUAUUGGACAAUGGCGCAAGCCUGAUCCAGCCAUGCCGCGUGUGUGAAGAAGGCCUUAUGGUUGUAAAGCACUUUAAGCGAGGAGGAGGCUACUUUAGUUAAUACCUAGGGAUAGUGGACGUUACUCGCAGAAUAAGUACCGGCUAACUCUGUGCCAGCCGCCGCGGUAACAC